rnacentral:rRNA from 1 species
GACUCUCGGCAACGGAUAUCUAGGCUCUCGCAUCGAUGAAGAACGUAGCAAAAUGCGAUACUUGGUGUGAAUUGCAGAAUCCCGUGAAUCAUCGAGUCUUUGAACGCAAGUUGCGCCCGAAGCCAUCCGGCCGAGGGCACGUCUGCCUGGGCGUCA